CAAAUGUCAUUAAUAUUCCUCUGCCACCACACAAUCCACCCCUCCAUGUCUUGCUUCCACAAGCAAGCUCAAGAUAUUAUUUAAACUUUUUAGUUUUGGUUAUUGGGUUUGGUUGUUCUACUUCCAACUUAAGUUUCAUGCAAGGUUUCUUUAUCUUCGAGUCCUAUUCAUGUCCAGAACAGUUGCCUUUUGUUAACCAUUUAAAGUGAAUGAAAUUCUCUUCUCUCGAAUAUCAUGGUGAUUGGAUUAUGACAUUGUUGCUUGGUUUAUUUGAUGUGUUGUUUCUAAGACUCUCAAUUGUGUUUUCACAAACCCUACUGUGUCAAUGUAUUCACUCAACCUUAUGUUUCCUUUCCUCUUUUCAUAUGGCCUUGAGUUCAUGGAUUUUUUAAUACAUAUUCUAUACUCUCAUUUUGCAUCGCCAUUAGUUUAUUUUUCUAAGAUUCAUUCUCAUUAAGUUUUCUUGGAUUUAUGUCUUAAGCAUGAUAUGACCAAUUAGUCCAUAUAUUGUUUUGAAUUGUACUUCGAGUACUAUUCGGCUUGUUAAUAGUUAAUAUCUCCUUGAAUGUUAUUACACCUGAAUAAAGUAGGUUUGAUUUUGAUGAUUCAUUUGUAGCCAGCAAAUUGUUCUUACAAUCUUGUGCAUAUAUUCUUACUCUGUUGUCUCUUAUAUGUGCUCUUGCUUUUAAUAUAUUGUUUUUCCUAGUAAUUAUUCAGUGUUUUUCUUGCUACAAGCUGAAUGAUGGUUUUUGUUUCUUUUAAGUUCAAAGCAACAUGAUUUUUAUUUGUUCUCCAUGCUUGUUUUUUUAUCCAUUCUCUAUCAUAUUUGAUGUACAUAUCUAAUUAUACUUGUGGAGCUAUGCUUGUCCAAGUUUCAAUCUGUCUUUGCAAUCCCUUUUCUUGCAAAGUUUUGUAAGUGAAAGGGGAAAUUUUGGAGAUACUUCUGCUACUGAUAGGUUCAUCUCCAUACUCCAGUAUAUGAUACUAGUUCAAAUUUGCAUUGCAGUGCACAUGCCCAUGUAGAUGGCAGCAUUAUGUGUAUAUGAUGACUUUAGGUUCAUUAAGUAUGAUUCCCAUCCUGGGUCCUGGAUUAUAUGACCCUCCAUGUUCUUCCCAUGCAUGCAUUUUCAUUUCACUUUCACAUUUAAUUUUGCAUAUUAAUGGAAUCUGUUUUAGAUGUGGUUGUGCUUUUUUUCUUCUUUGGUCCUGUUAUUUUUGAGGCCCAUUUGAAUGCCCAAGUGGGGAUUAGGUGCUAAAUGACCCAUGGCUUGUUGGACCUUGGGCUGCAUGUUGAAGGGACCUUGAGCAACAUAAUGUCUGUCCCCAGUGGUAAGUUUUAUCUAUUAACCCAUUAACCUAGAUCAUAAUUUGCAGAUCAUGUUUACAUUUAUUGGAUUCACCUAAGCACGUUAGGAAUGAUUCUCUACCCUUACACCUGAUUCCACCUAUUCUUGGACCAUAUAUGGAAAUCAGUACAUGGACUGGACCCCUCGGGUGCCUAACACCUUCCAAUGGGUGUGAACUGACCCUUGCACAAAUUUUGGAUUUCCAACCAUGGAAUCCAUCUUAAUUUUUUGGGAUUUCCAACCAUGGUAAAGCAGUGCUCCUAUGCAUUCUACUUAGAUGCUUGACCACAUAUCGGUUCAAAUUUUCUGUUUGCCAGCACUUGGCCAUUCCAAGGUGUUCACUCCGAAGUUUGGGGCAUCAAAGUGGGUUUGGGCUUUUUUGGCUGAGCCCAUGAGUUUAGGUACCACAUGGAUCAAGACCUUGGACCUAGUCCCAUUUAUUUUUGGGCUCACCUUGGUAACAUUAUGAACUCUUAUGGUGAUGGGCCCGAUUUGUGUCUAGGUAGACAUACCUAUAGCCCAAAGGUAUGGUAGGUCCAUUAAUGCCAAACAUUGGCAUUACUGGUGCUGGAGGCUAUCCUUCAGAGUUACAGAGGUAGAGUAGUAAUGGCGCCUGUGUGUUAUUAGAGAAACACCACGAAUAUAGUGAAAGAAAACAAAGCAAUUAAUCUUUGCUAUAAAACAUAAAGAAACUAGAUUAGUUUAACAAGGGACAACCUAGAAACCAUUAAGGUUAAAUAGAAGGCAAAUCAUUAUUGACACAAAAACUUGUUAUUUUCAGAUAUUGUCUUGUUUUUCAUUUUUUUUUUUUUUCGUGAAAUUUUUUUGAAAUGUCACAAGACAUCUAUUCUGCCAUGUAGACAGAUGAUAUGUCCAUUCCUAAGUUGUAUAGGGAGGACAUGGCCUAGAUUAGCCACAUAUCAAAUUUCAGAGUCUGUUUCAAUCACAUUCCACCUUUAGUAUUAGGACAUAUCCUGUGUUUUGUCCAUGCAUGUGUACUGGUAUUUUUCCUUUUGGAUUACUUUUUUGCAGAUAUAAUUGUGAGAAAAUUGGGAGCUCCAUUCAGAAUUUGUAGAAACUUUUGUCCUGAAAUGAGAUGCUGUUCAAUGGAAUUUUGCUGUUAGGCAAUCUAUUGAGACCUGGCAUAUUUUGAGAUAUUUGGGAGCUCCAUUGAAGUUUGUUGAAACUUUUGUUGCUGAUGAGUUACUGUCAAUGGAUCAAUGAUGAUUAGCCAUGUGGAGCACAUGCAGAGGGGUGGAGGUUUUCAUCUGUUCUCUUUCAAUCUAGGGAUCUUCUAUAACUUGUUUAGGUUCAAUUGUGACAUACAAAGCUGAUUUUUAGUUCAACAGGAUCUCUAAACAUGAAUUAAAAAAGAUGAGUCAUGUCACCAUUCCAAAUAAAUUUUACUGGAGCAUCCAAAUUUUGGUUCUA